rnacentral:rRNA from 1 species
UGGGGAAUAUUGCGCAAUGGGGGAAACCCUGACGCAGCGACGCCGCGUGAGCGAAGAAGGCCUUAGGGUUGUAAAGCUCUGUUUUAGGGGACGAAUGUCGUGGGGAGUAAUAUGACCUACGAAUGACGGUACCCUAAGAGGAAGCCCCGGCUAACUACGUGCCAGCAGCCGCGGUAAGACGUAGGGGGCGAGCGUUGUCCGGAAUUACUGGGCGUAAAGAGCACGUAGGCGGGAACCUAAGUCAGGUGUGAAAGACCGUGGCUCAACCACGGGGUGGCAUUUGAAACUGGGUUUCUUGAGGGCAGGAGAGGAAAGCAGAAUUCCUGGUGUAGCGGUGAAAUGCGUAGAAAUCAGGAGGAAUACCAGUGGCGAAGGCGGCUUUCUGGACUGACCCUGACGCUGAGGUGCGAAAGCGUGGGUAGCAAACAG